GACUCCGUGGCCUAAUGGAUAAGGCGUCUGACUUCAAAUCAGAAGAUUGCGGGUUCGAGUCCUGUCGGGGUCG